UAAUUACUCAUACAGCCAGAGAGGAUUCCAAGUCCCUGCCUAUUUGCAGCACUAUCUAAAAACAGUCAACUCAUCUUUCAAAUCUGACCAAACUACAAAUGAUGUCAUCGCUAUAAGGAGUGGGGCUUUCAUCACCUCCUUGACGUAGGAUGUGUACAUGGCUCUCCAGGUCAGAGUUGCUCCAAGCAAGGAAGUCUGAAACAGUUUUGGGCAGAAUGUCAACACCUGAUAAUUAUCUCCUGAUUGGUGACUCUCUCACUGUACAGCAAAGAUUGCUUUUAUCUGGGGUACUGUUCAGUGUGGCCUGGACUCUGACCAAUCGUAACUGAUUCUACUUAAAUAACCAGAAUGUCUGUAGAGCCAUCCUUCUAUUAAUUCUAAAACUGUAACAAAUCAUCCAACAACUUAUGUUCUUUGAAUACCUAAUGUGUGCCAGGAACUACACCGGACACUACACAUAUAUUAUUAGUGAGCCAAAUGGACACAUCUCUUCCUCCCAGUCCCUUCUUAAAUAAAAUGAGUUCCUCCAUUGGAGGUGAUGUUGUGCCGGAGAAUUAGACUUGGUGUAGUGGGAAAGCAAUGAAGAGGAACAUUCAGUGCUGUGGGUGCUCGUUUGUUUUUUCAACUUCCAAAAUGAGCUCCAUCAAUAGACUGGAAAGAGAAUUCCAGAGGGAGCUUGAAUAGGCUCUGCAGGGAUCUGCCUGAGGAGCACCGGAUCUUGAGGGAGAUGGUGAGGAGGUGGCUGGGGGAGAGGCUGAGACUGGAUUGCAGGUUGUGGGGCUUGUGUGGAGAAGAGCUGGAGAAGGCAGAAGAAGGCUACCUAGAACGGUUUGUGGCUGGCGCCAGGGCGCUAAAAGGAAGGUGAGGCACUGUUUGCAGACAAACCCCUCGUAGAGCCCUGUUAACCUGCUGUUACUGGGGGAAGGUGUGUUUUUCCUUGCCAGUAGGCAUAGCUACCUGCCUCUUCAUUGCCCUUGUAUAGUCCAGCAGAACAACAUGCCCUCUGGUCCCUGGGACUUUGCUGAGUCCGUGGACUUGCUCAGUGACCCUUUUCUCUUCAUGCCAGCCCCAUCUCAAUGGGCUGGAGUACUUGUAAACCCCCUGAAACCGUAUGUCCUUGACCCCAGAGGAACAAACAAGGCAAAGUGCCAGCUUCUGUGCUCCAGUGAUAAAGAUGGAUCAUACUUCCUGUCUGGCAGUGUUGUUGUGAGGAUUAAAGGAGAUAAGGUUUGCAAAGUGGCUAGCUUAGCGUCUCGCACAUACAGGUAUUAAGCAAAGGUUACCCCUUACCGCAUCCCUCAGGGAUGUUCCUCAAAAUUGUAUUAAUCAAAGCAUGCUUUAAAUUUUGUGAAGAUGCUCACUGGUUGAAUAAAUUUAUUGAAAAAAGGUAUUACCAAAAAAGUAAAUAUAUGCAAAUUUAAAUAAAAUGGUAUAAUGAAUCCCAUUUAUCCCUCACCUCGCUUCAAAAUUAUCAACUCCUAUUCAAUCUUGUUUCAUCCUCAUUUCCAGCUAUUCUCUUAUCUUUUUAUUUGGAAACUAACCCAGACAUCAUAUUAUUUCAACUGCAAACAUGUCCCUUAUGCAUCUUCAAAGACAACGACUUAGAAAAAAACACCAUGCCAUUAUCUUACCUUAAAAACGUAACAAUAAUUUUUUAACAUUAUUAAAUAUCCAGUCAAGUUUAAAUAGCCAAAUGUCCCAUAAAUGUCUUAAUUUUUAAAAGUUUAUUUGAUUCAGGAUCCAAAUAUAUUUAAAAACAUAAUAAAAAGUUUGGCAGUAGCCAAAUAUCUAGACAGCUACAAAUUCUGAAUCUCACAUAUUGGCUUUUCCUAGAGUGCAGCAAUAAUAUUGUAUCAUAAUAAAAUAAUGCUCCCUCAUUUGGACCGCAUUAUUAAGUGCUUUUACUUUGUUAAUUCAAUACAAUUAUUUUCCUGAUCUCAAUUUGGCCACUAAAUAAAGGUGUGUCCUUGGGCUAUUCACUCAACUUGUCUGAGUCACAGUUUUCAUACUUUUAAAAACAGAGUGUUGAACUAAAAUUGAUUAUUCAUGCCAGGUGCAGUGACUCAUACAUGCAAUCCCAGCACUUUGGGAGGCUAAGGCAGGCAGAUCACUUGAAGUCAGCAGUUUGAGACCACCCUGGCCAACAUGGUGAAACCCCGUCUCUAGAUAAAAAUACAAAAAAUUUGCUGGGCGUGGUGGUGGACGCCUGUAAUCCCAGCUACUCGGGAGGCUGAGGCAGGAGAAUUGCUUGAGCCUGGGAGGUGGAGGUUGCAGUGAGCCAAGAUCAUGCCACGGCACUGCAGCCUAGGUGACAAAACAAGACUCCUUCUCUAAAUAAAUAAAUAAAGAUUAUUCAGCAUGCUUUCAUUCUGAACUUCUGGGUGGGGGCAGGACAGCACAGGGUUGAGAGGAAACAUCCAGCAGAUCUGGCCUGGAACCCUGCCACAUGUAGGCCACAUGAGCUGGGAUUAGUUCCUUAAUCUCUCUUUGUCUUGGUUUCCAAGUCUGUGAAAUGCAAAUGAAAGACAACCAAACCCAGAAAGUUUUUCCUGUAUGCAUAUAGUGGUGGGGUACAGGGAAGGGUGAAUACAGUGAGAAAAUAUGAGUACAGUGAUUGUCACGUAGGAAUCCUCAAUAAAUAGUCAAUAUAGUUAGGUUAACUGGGGCAGGGGAUGAGGAGAUGAGGCUGGAGGACAGGCAGAGGUGAGAACUGUCUUGUCCACUGUCCACACAUGGCAAUUUAGUACUUGAAAUGUGGCUAGUCUGAAUUGAGAUGUCUUGUAAAUAAAUUACCUUUUGUACUUCUAAGACGUAGUAUGAACAAACAACAUAAAAUAUCUCUAUUUUUGAUGAUUCAUUUAUGUCAAUAUCAUAAUAUCUUGGAUAUGUUGUGUUAAAUAAAUAUUAUUAAAAUUAAUUUUACCCUAUCAAAAUGUUUAUAAA